GAGGAAAAAAUCCCAAAGGCGGGGGCGGUCGGGGUCACGCGCAUAAGCCAGUGUCCCUUGAUCGGCCACUUGAGAAAGGCGAUAAUGUGUUUCAGCCUGGGGCUGGAAUGACGACAUUCUGUUUUUUCCCGGGCUCUGAGCGCCUAUGGACGAUGUGGGAAGUGUCACGUUAGAGCAGAGAUCCUUAGUAAAUGAUAGAGAUGGAAAACAAGUUCAAGAAAUGGUCAGACAGGCCACUUCCUGUAAAGGAAUCUCUCAGGUUUUGACCUGCCAUUUGAGUUCUGUUAUACUCACAGACACCAUUCAAACAGUUUUAGAAAAUUUAGGGUGUUUUCUAUCCAUAUGUAAUAAGUAUAUGCAUAUUCUAGUUACUGGGUAGGAGUGGUAACCAGAUUAAAUCGGGUAUGUUUUUUAUCCAGCCGUGUCAAUACUGCCCCCUAUCCUAAACAGGUUAACACUUUUUUGGUUACUACAUGAUUCCAUAUGUGUUAUUUCAUAGUUUUGAUGUCUUCACUAUUAUUCUACAAUGUAGAAAAAAGUUAAAAAUAAAGAAUAACCCUUGAAUGUGUAGUUGUGUCCAAACUUUUGACUGGUACUGUAUAUAUUUUUUUUAACAUUUAAUGCACUAUGCAUUAUGUGGGUUGAAUGCUGUAACCACUCAGAAUAAAACAAUUCAUAAAAGUCCCAUGAUGGUAGUGACUGCACAUUACUGCUUAUAUUAACCAUUGUUUAUUCACAUUAUUUUCCUUUAAUAAAAUAUUUCAGUUGUUGUGUAUAUAAACAUGUUUUAUUUGAUUACUUUAUUAUUUAAUUCCAAGUCAUCAUCUCAUCUCCAUAGAGCUGCUGCCUAUGCUGUCUGACUAAAUCACUAUUUUAGUAGUUCUUCAAAGUAAAUAAGGCAUACUUUUAUGACUGCUGAAUACCAACUAUCAAACACUUAAAUUAUGUAUUUUCAAGAAAAAAUACCUCAUGAAGCGAGAGCUCUCUCUCGAUCGCACAUUCAUCUGUCUCUUUUACGUAGUAGGCGUUAAGGAAACAGACCGGACCAGUAGGCGCGCAAUGGAUUAUGGUCAUUGUAGUUCAUGUUUUCUGAGCUUAACAAUGUAGAAUAUUGGCUUGUUGGAAACUACUACAACAUCACAGAGUUCAGGCUUGAUCUGAUUGUUCUUUAAAGAAACUGCAUAAUGUGUGCAUUGAGCUUACAGAAAACUGAACAAAAUGUACUUCCAAUAAUUGAACCAACGUCUGUCAAUUAGUGGUUAAAAUACGGAAAAUAACUGAAAUGUCAGUUAAUCACUCAGCACUAAUGGACAAGGAUGAUUUUAUCCUAGAUCAGUACUCCCACUCUUAAAUGCUAUAUGUAUACGGGCCUAGGAGCUCAUUUCAAAAUGGCGGUUGAAUGCUCUGUGUCUUAUUGUGUGUGUACUAACACAGCCAUCUGUUGUCUGAAAGUGAUGGGGCUAAGUUGCUCUGUGAGCCUGUAUCUAUGUUAUGUUGUGUAUUAUUAUACUGAUGUAUGUAUUGCCGUUUGUAUCAUAAGCUGAACACCAAUGUAUGUUACAUAUCGGAGAAAUGUAAAAGUCAUGUAAAAUAGGAGCGAUGUGGCAGUGUUUUUAUUGCUGUUCUGUACUAUCAAUUUAUUCUGCAAUUAAACCAACCUUUUCCUGUAGAGGGAUGUUGCCCUUUAUUUUGAGUCUGUGAGAUUUUAUGAUGCACAAAAAUGGAUU
rnacentral:lncRNA from 1 species